rnacentral:rRNA from 1 species
UACGGAGGGGGCUAGCGUUGUUCGGAAUUACUGGGCGUAAAGCGUCCGUAGGCGGCUUUGUAAGUUAGAGGUGAAAGCCCGGGGCUCAACCCCGGAAUUGCCUUUAAGACUGCAUCGCUAGAAUUGUGGAGAGGUAAGUGGAAUUCCGAGUGUAGAGGUGAAAUUCGUAGAUAUUCGGAAGAACACCAGUGGCGAAGGCGACUUACUGGACACAUAUUGACGCUGAGGUGCGAAAGCGUGGGGAGCAAACAGG